GACAGAGGGUGCAAACGUUGCUCGGAAUCACUGGGCGUAAAGGGCGUGUAGGCGGGAAGGAAAGUCAGAUGUGAAAUCCCCAGGCUCAACCUGGGAACUGCAUUUGAAACUCCCUUUCUUGAGUACCGGAGAGGAAAGCGGAAUUCCUGGUGUAGAGGUGAAAUUCGUAGAUAUUCGGAAGAACACCAGUGGCGAAGGCGACUCACUGGCCCGAUACUGACGCUGAGGCGCGAAAGCGUGGGGAGCAAACAGG
rnacentral:rRNA from 1 species